rnacentral:rRNA from 1 species
UAGGGAAUCUUCGGCAAUGGACGAAAGUCUGACCGAGCAACGCCGCGUGAGUGAAGAAGGUUUUCGGAUCGUAAAACUCUGUUGUUAGAGAAGAACAAGGACGUUAGUAACUGAACGUCCCCUGACGGUAUCUAACCAGAAAGCCACGGCUAACUACGUGCCAGCAGCCGCGGUAAUACGUAGGUGGCAAGCGUUGUCCGGAUUUAUUGGGCGUAAAGCGAGCGCAGGCGGUUUCUUAAGUCUGAUGUGAAAGCCCCCGGCUCAACCGGGGGGGGUCAUUGGAAACUGGGAGACUGGAGUGCAGAAGAGGAGAGUGGAAUUCCAUGUGUAGCGGUGAAAUGCGUAGAUAUAUGGAGGAACACCAGUGGCGAAGGCGGCUCUCUGGUCUGUAACUGACGCGGAGGCUCGAAAGCGUGGGGAGCAAACAGG